GACGAACGCUGGCGGCGUGCCUAACACAUGCAAGUCGAACGGAAAGGCCCUGCUUUUGUGGGGUUCUCGAGUGGCGAACGGGUGAGUAACACGUGAGUAACCUGCCCUUGACUUUGGGAUAACUUCAGGAAACUGGGGCUAAUACCGGAUAGGAGCUCCUGCUGCAUGGUGGGGGUUGGAAAGUUUCGGCGGUUGGGGAUGGACUCGCGGCUUACGAGCUUGUUGGUGGGGUGGGGGCUUACCAAGGCUUUGAAGGGUAGCCGGCCUGGGAGGGUGACCGGGCCCAGAGUGCCUGGGGUGGGAGCCGGAGGGAUACGUGAGGCAGGGGUGGAAGACUGUGCACGCUGGGCGGAGGGAGGGAGCAGGGCCGCCGGGUGCGAAAUGACGGCUUUCGGGUAGGAAACCGCUUUCGCCUAUAACGAAGCGUGAUGACGGGUAAUAGAUAAAGAGACACCGCCUACCUCCGG
rnacentral:rRNA from 1 species